rnacentral:rRNA from 1 species
UUGGAGAGAGGGUUUUGAUCUGGCUCAGAUUGAACGCUGCGCAUGCUCACAUGCAAGUCGACGGCAGCACAGAGAAGCUGCUCUGGGUGGCGAGUGGCGAACGGGUGAGUAACAUAUCGGAACGUACCGAGCAGUGGGGGAUAACUAAUCGAAAGAUUAGCUAAUACCGCAUAUUUUCUGAGGAAGAAAGCAGGGGACCAUUUGGCCUUGCGCUGUUUGAGCGGCCGAUAUCUGAUUAGGUUGGUGGGGUAAAGGCCUACCAAGGCGACGAUCAGUAGCGGGUCUGAGAGGAUGAUCCGCCACACUGGGACUGAGACACGGCCCAGACUCCUACGGGAGGCAGCAGUGGGGAAUUUUGGACAAUGGGCGCAAGCCUGAUCCAGCCAUGCCGCGUGUCUGAAGAAGGCCUUCGGGUUGUAAAGGACUUUUGUCAGGGAAGAAAAGGGCGGGGUUAAUACCCCUGUCUGAUGACGGUACCUGAAGAAUAAGCACCGGCUAACUACGUGCCAGCAGCCGCGGUAAUACGUAGGGUGCGAGCGAUCGGAAUUACUGGGCGUAAAGCGGGCGCAGACGGUUACAGCAGGAUGUGAAAUCCCCGGGCUCAACCUGGGAACUGCGUUCUGAACUGGGUGACUAGAGUGUGUCAGAGGGAGGUAGAAUUCCACGUGUAGCAGUGAAAUGCGUAGAGAUGUGGAGGAAUACCGAUGGCGAAGGCAGCCUCCUGGGAUAACACUGACGUCUGCCCCAAAAGCGGAA